rnacentral:rRNA from 1 species
UGCAAGUCGAGGGGUAACAGGGAGUGCUUGCACUCCGCUGACGACCGGCGCACGGGUGCGCACCGCGUAUGGAACCUGCCUCUUGCAGGGGAAUAGCCCAGGGAAACUUGGAUUAAUGCCCCAUAGUACCUAUCCACGGCAUUGUGGAUUGGUUAAAGCCUUCGGGCGGCGAGAGAUGGCCAUGCGUCCCAUUAGCUAGAUGGUAAGGUAACGGCUUACCAUGGCUACGAUGGGUAGGGGCCCUGAGAGGGGGAUCCCCCACACUGGUACUGAGACACGGACCAGACUCCUACGGGAGGCAGCAGUGAGGAAUAUUGGACAAUGGGCGGGAGCCUGAUCCAGCCAUGCCGCGUGCAGGAAGACGGCCCUAUGGGUUGUAAACUGCUUUUAUACGGGAAGAAAAACAGCUACGUGUAGUUGACUGACGGUACCGUAAGAAUAAGGACCGGCUAACUCCGUGCCAGCAGCCGCGGUAAUACGGAGGGUCCGAGCGUUAUCCGGAAUUAUUGGGUUUAAAGGGUCCGUAGGCGGGCCAUUAAGUCAGUGGUGAAAGUCUGCAGCUCAACUGUAGAAUUGCCUUUGAUACUGGUGGUCUUGAGUUAUGGUGAAGUGGCUGGAAUAUGUAGUGUAGCGGUGAAAUGCAUAGAUAUUACAUAGAACACCGAUUGCGAAGGCAGGUCACUAACCGUAUACUGACGCUGAUGGACGAAAGCGUGGGGAGCGAACAGGAUUAGAUACCCUGGUAGUCCACGCCGUAAACGAUGGAUACUAGCUGUCCGGGUCCUUGAGGCCUGGGCGGCCAAGCGAAAGUGAUAAGUAUCCCACCUGGGGAGUACGUUCGCAAGAAUGAAACUCAAAGGAAUUGACGGGGGCCCGCACAAGCGGUGGAGCAUGUGGUUUAAUUCGAUGAUACGCGAGGAACCUUACCAGG